ensembl:lincRNA linc-41 ncRNA
UAUGACUAUAGUCUUAAUUUAAAAGGUUUUACCUACGCUAAAAUGGAAACAAAAGACCUGACAAUAAAAACGACGUGCUGACAGCUGCAAGAAAAGAACUCAGAACAUCAGUAACGAAGUACCUUAGUAGAUUCACCGGACUCGCCAUAGAAGUAAACUGCCAAUGCACUAACCUAAAGUAUAAUCAUAUAAGAAAACAACAAGUCUCCAUUGCAAGGAUUCAAUCACAAAGUUUUUGCGGUCUAUUCCGAAAAUGGAUGCAAUGGAUGGCACUGUGGAGGCUUCUAUUACGACCCGGCCUGCCUCUUCUACAGUACCGACAACGAACGACAUUUACGAGACGUACAGUUCCUCCACUCAGAAAACAGAAUUCGAAUCCAUGUGGAAUUCAUAAACUUUAAGUUGUAUACUCUCUUGAUUCUUUUUGUCUUCCGGAGUGUCAAAUCGGUGUAAAACUUAUUGCACAUUUUCAUGCUCAAUAAAAUUCGAAUGUUGC